AUUGAACGCUGGCGGCAUGCUUUACACAUGCAAGUCGAACGGCAGCACGGACUUCGGUCUGGUGGCGAGUGGCGAACGGGUGAGUAAUACAUCGGAACGUACCCAGUAAUGGGGGAUACCUAUCCGAAAGGAUAGCUAAUACCGCAUACGCCCUACGGGGGAAAGAGGGGGAUCGCAAGACCUUUUGUUAUUGGCGCGGCCGAUGGCUGAUUAGCUAGUUGGUAGGGUAAAGGCCUACCAAGGCAACGAUCAGUAGCGGGUCUUAGAGGACGAUCCGCCACACUGGAACUGAGGCACGGUCCAGACUCCUACGGGAGGCAGCAGUGGGGAAUCUUGGACAAUGGGCGCAAGCCUGAUCCAGCAAUGCCGCGUGCGUGAAGAAGGCCUUCGGGUUGUAAAGCGCUUUUGUCAGGGAGCAAAUCCUUGUGGCUAAUACCCACCGGGGAUGAGAGUACCUGAAGAAUAAGGACCGGCUAACUACGUGCCAGCAGCCGCGGUAAGAC
rnacentral:rRNA from 1 species